ACCGAACAAUCUACCGAACAACUAGACCACCUGUAUGUGGAGUAGGCCACUCAUUAAUGGAUAUAUACACAAAAGUUGUGGAAUAGGUGGCCUUAUAUAGUUUAAACGUGUAAGUUGUAAAGUGGAUUUUAGCUGCUGUAUACACACAUAGAUAAUCAUCAAGAAACAAAUAAAAACUUUAGGCUUUACAGGUGUUACCACCUUCUAAGCCUUCAG